rnacentral:rRNA from 1 species
UACGAAGGGGGCUAGCGUUGCUCGGAAUCACUGGGCGUAAAGCGCACGUAGGCGGCUUUCUAAGUCAGGGGUGAAAUCCUGGAGCUCAACUCCAGAACUGCCUUUGAUACUGCAAAUCUCGAGUCCGGAAGAGGUGAGUGGAAUUCCUAGUGUAGAGGUGAAAUUCGUAGAUAUUAGGAAGAACACCAGUGGCGAAGGCGGCUCACUGGUCCGGUACUGACGCUGAGGAGCGAAAGCGUGGGGAGCGAACAGG